rnacentral:lncRNA from 1 species
CUUAAAGAGACAGUGCACUCAACUUCCUGUAAGACCCCUAGGCUCCCAUGUUCACUAUCAUGACUUGUCUGCUGAUUUCCAACUUGAAGAGAUUGCCUGGAAACACUGGAAGAGGUUCCAGACCUGACUUCACUUUUGGAAAGGUGGAGAAUCUUCCCCUUCUUUUCCAGGUAACAAGAGUCUGUGGAAGGAGACCCUGCUGGAAAAGAAACUUUGGAACCUAGUGUGUGGG